rnacentral:rRNA from 1 species
UAGGUCGCGGAGGUUUCUGACACCGUCGCGGUCGUAGCAAAAGUGUUAAGUGCACCGCCUGGGGAGUACGGUCGCAAGGCUAAAACUCAAAGGAAUUGACGGGGGCUCACACAAGCGGUGGAGCAUGUGGAUUAAUUCGAAGCAACGCGCAGAACCUUACCUGGGUUUGACAUGUAUGGAUGCCUAUCUGGAAACAGAGUCGGCUGCCCUCGGGUGAAACUUACACAGGUGCUGCAUGGCUGUCGUCAGCUCGUGUCGUGAGAUGUCGGGUUAAGUCCUUUAACGAGCGAAACCCUUACCGUUAGUUGCCAGCGCGUCCAUGGCGGGGACUCUAGCGGGACUGCCGGUGUUAAACCGGAGGAAGGUGGGGAUGACGUCAAGUCCUCAUGGCCUUUAUGCCCAGGGCUUCA